rnacentral:rRNA from 1 species
CCUACGGGAGGCAGCAGUGAGGAAUAUUGGUCAAUGGGCGGGAGCCUGAACCAGCCAAGCCGCGUGAGGGAAGAAGGUACAGCGUAUCGUAAACCUCUUUUGUCAGGGAACAAAGGCGGGGACUAGUCCCCGGAUGAGGGUACCUGAAGAAAAAGCAUCGGCUAACUCCGUGCCAGCAGCCGCGGUAAUACGGAGGAUGCGAGCGUUAUCCGGAUUUAUGGGGUUUAAAGGGUGCGCAGGCGGCCUGUUAAGUCAGCGGUAAAAGCCCGGGGCUAAACCCCGGCGGGCCGUGGAAACUGGCGGGCUGGAGUUGGAGAGAGGUACGCGGAAUGCGCGGUGUAGCGGUGAAAUGCUUAGAUAUCGCGCAGAACCCCGAUUGCGAAGGCAGCGUACCGGCUCCACACUGACGCUGAGGCACGAAAGCGUGGGUAUCGAACAGGAUUAGAUACCCUGGUAGUC